CACCAAAGUAGAUCCUCUUUGUAUCAUUUUAACCUAUAACUUGGGGCAGGAAAAAUAAAACAAAAAUUUUAAAUUCCAAAUUCAAGUGAAAAAAAACAAACAAAUGAAAAACACCCAUCCGCUCAACACCAUGAAGCCAAAUGCUGGUUUGUUGGCUAAAUAUAUGGACCUAUUUGUUUUUUGCAUUUUAAUCAUCUUGUUUUAAUAACAUACCACAAUACAAACAAUUGUGCGGGUUAAUUCAGCUCUAUUUAAGAAGUCUUGUUCUGUACUCCAGAGCUUGUUGUUCUGUCUGGUUAAAUGCUCAUGCAUUAAAAUGCUAAUAAUUAAACUGUUACGAUUGACUAAUGAACUCUGCCAGCGAUAAAUGAUGGUCUUGUUAGAUUCACCGCCCAGCAAGCCUCCUUUUGUACUGAGAAAGUUAAAGGUUAGAGUGCUCUUGAAACCAGUGAGUGGAUCUAGAAGCAAUUACAAUUUUUUCCCUGAAACAAAUAGUUACUACAAUAAUGUUUCAGUUCCAAGUCAGUAAGAGUGAAAAAAGCGCCCUCUUUAUCCCGCAGGGCAGAUGACAUGGUUUUCCAGACGAAAGCGUGCUUAGACAGACAUCCUUCUUAGAACCAGUCUUCCCAAGAAUGCAGACGCAAAUGUAACCACGGGCGAGUUCCACGUGCACUGUCCAGGAGGGAGCGAAACAGAUGGAGCCCAUGGCCUCAGGACGCUUCCAGUUUGGAAAAGGGCACCUGACCAUAAACAGGUAAACAAAGAGGGUGUCGGAGGUGGGAAGUGCCCCGGAGAAAACGCCACAGGGAAGGGGGCAGAGCGUGCCGGGUGGGGCCCGCUGGAGGGGCUGCUGCGUGGGUUCCUGGGCAUGGGCACAGUGCUCAGCCUGCCCUCUGACCUUAUGACCAUGGCCCACCUCCUCAGCAGACUUGGGAAGGCCGUGCCCCUUCUCCUCUGAUGCCAGACCUCGGCCUUCCUCCUUCCCCACAUCUGUUAGAGUUGAGUCUGGAGAAUUCGACCUCAGGCUUUUUCUUUCAUGUGAAAACUCAUCAGAAAUUAAAUUAACAUCAGCCCUUUGCCUGUUUUCUCACCUGCUCAGGAAGCAACACAAUUACCACAACCUGGGAGAUUGGGCAGAGACCAAAACCCCACAAGAGGGGACAAGCCCCUCCCUCAGGACU
ensembl:lncRNA